UCGCAAAAUUUCUUCCGGUUCAGAAGUGUCCAGAUCGGGCUCGCCUCGCUCCGCCUGGCCACGUCUUGCAACGCCUCCUUACGCCUUCCCCGAGCUAAACAGCCGACCGCCUCGGGCAAUUUUCUGCCGCCCCCCUCCGACGCAUGCCUUUAAAAACACUGGCUUGGGUUUCUCUUGGGGAGUCAUUAUCUAUGAUGUAAAUGAUGUUUCGUGGAUUAUCAACUAAGCUGUUGAACAUAUGCAUAGCUUCAUUUUGUAAAGUCCGGCUACUGGAGAAAGCAGAAGCCAUUAUAAUUGACGGCGAAAGAUUAGGGGUGAUUCCAGAUGUGGUAACUUACAAUACUUUGGUCAGUGCAUAUUCUCGGUAUGUUAGCUUAGAUGCAGCUUAUUCUGUUAUUCAUAGAAUGAAAGAAGCUGGGAUAAGUCCAGAUGUCAUUACUUACAAUUCUUUGAUAGCUGGGUCGACCAGGGAUUGUUUAUUGUCACAAUCCCUGGAUUUGUUUGAGGAAAUGCUACAGGCAGGUAUACAUCCUGAUGUAUGGAGUUACAAUAUUCUGAUGAAUUGUUUCUUUAAAUUGGGAAAACCCGAUGAAGCCAACAGAGUAUUUCAGGAUAUUUUACUUAGCAAUCUCGCUUCUCACCCAGCUACCUUUAACAUAAUGAUUAAUGGCCUUUGUAAAAAUGAAUACAUCGAUAAUGCCCUUAUGUUAUUUAGAAAUUUGCAACGUCAUGGUUUUGUUCCCCAAUUAGUGACAUACAAUAUUCUUAUCAAUGGGCUAUGCAAGGCACGCAGAUUGCGGCAAGCAAGGACAAUGCUAAGGGAACUUGGGGAAUCAGAUCUUGAGCCAAAUGCCAUAACCUACACUACAGUUAUGAAAUGCUGCUUUAGGUCUAAGCAGUAUGACAAAGGGCUUGAUAUUAUGUCGGAGAUGAAGAGUAAAGGGUAUACUUUUGAUAGUUUUGCAUACUGCACAGUCGUUGCUGCUUUAGUUAAGACUGGGAGGAUAGAAGAGGCAAAUGCUUGCAUGGAACAGGUAAUGAGUAAUGGCAUUGAACUCGAUUUAGCAGCUUAUAACACCUUACUUAAUAUGUAUUGUAGAGAAGGUAAGUUUGAAGCUGCCUAUAAGUUGUUGGAUGAAAUAGAGAAGGGAGGUCUGCUGUGUGACAAGUAUACCCACACAAUUAUAAUUGAUGGCUUGUGUAAAGCUGGUAAUAUUACUGGGGCUCAACACCAUUUACAUUAUAUGAAAAUGAUGGGCUUCCAUGAAAACUUGGUUGCCCUCAACUGCAUGAUUGAUGGGUUGUGUAAAGCUGGUCAUAUUGAUCGUGCAAUGGAAUUGUACAAAUCAAUGGAGACUAAAGACUCUGUUACCUACACCUCCUUGGUGCACAAUCUUUGCAGGGUUGGAAGGUUCCGUUGUGCAUCCAAGCUUAUGAUGAAAUGUUUAAAAGAUGGCAAGAAAAUACUCAGGGCUACCAAACGAGCUGUCGUUGCUGGUCUUCGUAGUUCAGGGUAUACAGAUGAAGCAAAGAAACUUCAGUGGAAAAUUCAAGUGGCUCGAAUAUUACGGCUGGUAACUUGCUCUACGAAGCACAGAAUAGUAAUAGUGAAGAGUAAUGGUGAAUCUGAAUUGGAGUGUAACUGGUUAGCAGUAUUGGGAGCAGUUUGGAUAGAACUCAGGAUAACUACUCCUGAAAGAGAGAAAUACAAUAGCUAUGAUUCCCGAACAGGGAAAAAACGAUGGUUAACUAUACUUCCUAAAAUGAUGAUGAUGCGGAAUAUAGCUGCUUCUUCUUCUUCUUCUUAUUGCACCAGCCGGAGAUGGAGAGGUAUGCCUUGUCUUCACUCUUAACUCCACUGUUGUUGUUUUCGCCAACGAUUACUUUGCUUUCCUUCACUCUCAACCUUGUAAACCAAUCAAAUCUACAAGAAACCAACUAGAGCAGCCAAAAAGAGACUUACCCAAAAUCACAAAUGUUGAGGAUGCUUUCAAUGUGUUCGAUAGAAUGCUUCAAAUGCGCCCUCUGCCUUCUGUUGUCCGUUUCAAUAAAAUCUUAGGUCAAGUUGCAAAAUUGAAACAUUACUCGGCCGUCAUCUCAUUGUAUAACCAAAUGGGUGUGUCGAGGAUUGGACAUGAUGUUUAUACCCUAACCAUACUCAUAAAUUGUUAUUGUCAUCUAAACCAAAUGGGGUUUAGUUUAUCUGUAUUGGGGAAAUUCUUCAAACUUGGUCUUGAACCAGAUGUCUUUACCUUCACCACUCUAAUCAACGGCUUUCUUCUCGAGAAUAGAGUGGCGGAGGCAGCAGGAAUUUUCAACAAAAUGAUUGCGGGAGGUAAUCUUCAGCCUGAUGUGGUUACUUAUGGCACACUAGUAAAGGGCUUUUGCAUGAAAGGUAACAACAGUGCUGCUAUUCAGUUGCUUAGGAAGAUGGAGGAAGGAGCUUGCAAGCCUGGCUUAGUUGUCUAUAACACAAUCAUCGACAGUCUUUGUAAGGAUAAAUUAGUUGAUGAUGCAUUGAACCUCUUAUCAGAAAUGAUGAGCAAGGGUAUUGCCCCAGAUGUCAUUACCUAUACAUCCUUGAUUCAUGGAGUUUGCAAAUUAGGCAAGUGGAAAGAAGCUAAAGGGUUGUUGAAUGAAAUGGUGAGUAAAAACGUCUUUCCAGAUGUGUGCACAUUCAGUGUCUUGGUAGACACACUUUGUAAGGAGGGGAUGGUUGGGGAAGCAGAAGGCCUGGUCAAAAUGAUGAUUGAAAGGGAUAUUCAACCAAAUACCGUUACAUACAAUUCACUUAUGGAUGGUUACUGUUUACGAGGAGAAAUGAGUAAGGCUAGAAAAGUUUUUAAACUAAUGCUUAGCAAGGGCUCGAUGGUUGAUGUUUUUAGUUACAGCACAUUGAUAAAUGGAUAUUGCAAGCGUAAAAUGAUGGAUGAGGCCAUGACGCUUCUUCGGGAAAUGUCUCGUAAGGGACUGGUUCCAAAUACUGUUACUUAUAGCACUCUUGUAGAUGGUUGUUGCAAAGUGGGGAAAUUAGGUGAUGCACAAAAGUUGUUCUCAGAGAUGCAAGAUUGUGGCCAACUUCCAGAUGUUCAAACUUAUGCUGUUCUACUGGAUGGCCUGUGUAAAAACCGACAACUUUCUACAGCAAUCCAACUGUUUAAAGAGAUGGAAGGCAAGAAGUUGGAUGCAGAUAUUGUGGUUUACAGUAUUCUUAUUGAAGGUUUGUGCAUAGCUGAAAAAAUUGAAUCUGCAUGGGAACUCUUUUUUGGUUUAUCAUCAAGAGGGCUUCAAAUGAAUGUAAGGACAUAUACCAUAAUGAUUAAUGGACUCUGUAUUGGGGGCCGAACAAGUGAAGCAGAAAAGCUGCUUACUGAAAUGGAAGAGAGAGGUUGUCCUCCAGAUGAUUGUACGUAUAACAUAAUUAUUCGAGGGUUUGUCAAUAACAAUGAGACAGUAAGGGUGACAGGACUUAUUCAACAAAUGGUGGAGAAGGGUUUCUCUGCAGAUGCUUCAACUACAGAAUUGAUAAUUGAUCUAUUGUGUAAAGAUAAAGUAGAUCCUGCAUUGUUGCCAUUGAUGCAAAAAGAGAAUUAUGAACUGAAUUUGCCUCAGUUAAAGUAUUUGGACUGAUAUAAUCAAGAUUUUUCAGCUGAGCAA